AAAGGGCCGCGGGCGGCGGGCAGUGGUGUCCCAGUCUCCCGGUGCUUCCCUCAGGCUGAGGCGCCCGGCCUCCCGCCCGCCGCGCUCCAGAUGAAGUGUGAGCACUGCACGCGCAAGGAAUGUAGUAAGAAAACAAAAACUGAUGACCAAGAGAAUGUGUCAGCCGAUGCACCGAGUCCAGCCCAGGAAAAUGGAGAGAAGGGAGAAUUCCACAAGUUGGCUGAUGCCAAGAUAUUUUUGAGCGACUGCCUGGCAUGUGACAGCUGUGUGACUGCAGAGGAAGGAGUCCAACUUUCCCAGCAAAAUGCCAAGGAUUUCUUCCGCGUUCUGAACCUUAACAAGAAAUGUGAUACCUCAAAGCACAAAGUGCUGGUAGUGUCUGUGUGUCCUCAAUCUUUGCCUUAUUUUGCUGCUAAAUUCAACCUCAGUGUAACUGAUGCAUCCAGAAGACUCUGUGGUUUCCUCAAAAGUCUUGGGGUGCACUAUGUAUUUGACACGACAAUAGCUGCAGAUUUUAGUAUCCUGGAGAGUCAAAAAGAAUUCGUGCGUCGCUAUCGCCAGCACAGUGAGGAGGAACGCACCCUGCCCAUGCUGACCUCUGCCUGUCCUGGCUGGGUCCGAUACGCCGAGCGGGUGCUGGGUCGCCCCAUCACUGCCCACCUCUGCACCGCCAAGUCCCCCCAGCAGGUCAUGGGCUCUUUGGUGAAGGAUUAUUUCGCCAGACAGCAG
rnacentral:sRNA from 1 species